AACGCUGGCGGCGUGGAUUAGGCAUGCAAGUCGAACGGUAGGAUACUUUCGGGUAUCUGAGAGUGGCGAACGGGUGAGUAACACGUAGGUGAUCUACCCUCAAAUCGGGGACAACCCAGGGAAACUUGGGCUAAUACCGGAUGAGUGCGGUAACGCAUAAAAGGUGGCGUAAGCUGCCGUUUGGGGAUGAGCCUGCGCCCUAUUAGUUAGUUGGUGAGGUAACGGCUCACCAAGGCGAUGAUAGGUAGGCGGCCUUAACGGGUGGUCGCCCACACUGGGAUUGAGAUACGGCCCAGACUCCUACGGGAGGCAGCAGUCGAGAAUAGUCUACAAUGGACGAAAGUCUGAUAGUGCGACGCCGCGUGAACGAAGAAGCCCUUCGGGGUGUAAAGUUCUUUUAUAUGUGAGCAAUGCUUCUUAGGUGAAUAGUCUGAGGAGAGAGAUAUUAGCAUAUGAAUAAGCAACGGCUAACUCCGUGCCAGCAGCCGCGGUAACACGGGGGUUGCGAGCG
rnacentral:rRNA from 1 species